rnacentral:rRNA from 1 species
GUAGGGAAUAUUGGGCAAUGGUCGGAAGACUGACCCAGCCAUGCCGCGUGCAGGAAGACGGCCCUCUGGGUUGUAAACUGCUUUUAUCUGGGAAGAAAAAGGCCAUGCGUGGCAAAUUGCCGGUACCAGAUGAAUAAGCACCGGCUAACUCCGUGCCAGCAGCCGCGGUAAUACGGAGGGUGCGAGCGUUGUCCGGAUUUAUUGGGUUUAAAGGGUGCGUAGGCGGCUGAUUAAGUCAGCGGUGAAAGACUUCGGCUUAAACGGAGCAGUGCCGUUGAUACUGGUUGGCUUGAGUGUCGGAGGGGUACAUGGAAUUGAUGGUGUAGCGGUGAAAUGCAUAGAUACCAUCAGGAACACCGAUAGCGAAGGCAUUGUACUGGCCGACAACUGACGCUGAUGCACGAAAGUGUGGGGAUCGAACAGGAUUAGAUACCCUGGUAGUCC